UGCUCUUCCCACCUAAGGGACACCGGCAAAGACACAUAAGGACCUGUUCUGAUCAGGUAAAAAAUAAACUGUAAAAGUCACUGCUAUUAUUAAGCCUCAGCAAUUUCAUAAACCCCCUUAGAGAGACCUAAGAUGGACACUGUGGCAGUCAUCCAGGAAACAUGGAAAAUCCAGUUGGACAGCAUUAUCUGUGCCUGUUUCUUAGUCUUCUUGCAAGCUAGUAACUAUAAGGAGACAGAAGAUGCUGGACAAUGGCCUUCAGAAUUCCAUCUGCUAGGCCAUACUACAAAUUUGUCACCCAGUAGUUUUGCUCAAACUGCAUGUCAGAUUUGCCUGGUUGGAGGAAAAAACUGAGUAAUGUGAGCUCAGCUUGGACACUGCACAUCUGUCUGACCAUUUCACUCGGCACAGUUCAGAACGAGAAUUAUCCUAUAGUAACUCUGGUCCCUAAAUAUCAAAGAAAGUCAUGGGCCUUUCUCAACUGGAAUAUGAUCUAAAGAUUGUGGUUUGUUGUUCAGUAUCCACUAUGAAAACUGAAGUGUCCAAAGACUAAUCUCAAAGAGAUGAAUAAAGAAAAGAAACAAAAUGAAAGAAGAACAAGAAGCAGUAAAGACUACACAACCCAUCAGACCCAUUCUGGCCCAUAACUUCCUAAGGAGAAGCCAAAUAUACACA